AUCUCUAUUGAAAAGAGAAGUAUUUGGACCAGUAGUCCAAACACCGCUGGGUGUAAUCCCGGUUGGAAACAAAAUCUCUAUUGAAAAGAGAAGUAUUUGGACCAGUAAUUCAAACACCGCUGGGUGUAUUCCCGUUUGGAAAUAAAUGGGUAUUUGUAUGAAAAGUGAAAUGAGAAAAAUGAAAUUAUGAGAUAUAAAGCCCGAC
rnacentral:lncRNA from 1 species